AAAAUUAGAGUGUUCAAAGCAGGCAGAUCCAAUUUUCUGCCACCGAAUACAUUAGCAUGGGAUAAUGGAAUAGGACCCUGUCCUCCUAUUUUCAGUUGGUUUUGGCAGCGCGAGGACUAGGGUAAUGAUUAAUAGGGAUAGUUGGGGGCAUUAAUAUUUAAUUGUCAGAGGUGAAAUUCUUGGAUUUAUGAAAGAUUAACUUCUGCGAAAGCAUCUGCCAAGGAUGUUUUCAUUAAUCAAGAACGAAAGUUAGGGGAUCGAAGACGAUCAGAUACCGUCGUAGUCUUAACCAUAAACGAUGCCGACCAGCGAUUAGGAGACGUUGAAUACAAAACACCACCAUCGGCGCGGCCGUCCUUGGCCGUGCGUCUCGUUUCGGCGAGGCGUUUGGCGGGGGCGGCUUAGCCCGG
rnacentral:rRNA from 1 species